GCUGAGGCGUGGAAACACUGCAGGCUCUUUCUGGAAGAUCUCCCGAGGGCAGGCAGGAGAGUGGCCCUGGAAACCAAGACCCUGGAAGCAGGAGGGGUGGAGAAAGUUGGGAUGCCCACACUCCUUGCUUAGGUGCAAGGCCUGAUGGCCUCCACCCUGCCUCUGCUUUCCUGUCUGCAUGCUUACUCCAUGUGGCUCCUGGCCUGCUCUCUGCCUGCACUAUUCACAAGAGCCAAGAAAUGGAAUCAAGCAGUGUCCAUCAACUAAUGAACAGAUAUAGCACAUACAGACCAAAGACUACUUCAGCCAUAAAAAGUGACACAAUCUCGUCAUUGCAACAACAUGUAUGGAACUGGAGGUUAUUACAUGAAGUGAAAUAAGUGCAGGGGAAGCAAUGUGUACUCGCUGCACAGAAGUAGAUGGCUGAGUCUCCAAGCUGGGUGGCUGCAAUGUGCAGGGAGAAGUGUUUGGCCACUUUAUUCAGCAAAACAUGCAGCUGCAGCCAAAAGAACAUGAAAGAUGCUCCAAUGGAUGUCUUCAUUGUUCUUCCCAGUUAGGAUCAAUCAGAGAUCUGCAAUCUUCAACCAGGAGCUACUCCUAUUUUCAGGUUCAUGGUGGGUCUCAUAUUGUCUAUCC